CUUAAAGCCAAAUAUACGUUUAUAGCUUUAUAGUCAAAAAUAUCAGAGCGCAAAUCUUCUCUCCAUUUUGAUCAGAAAUCGCAGAGCUUCGAUUAGAAAUCCAAAAGGUAGAAGACGAAUCUCAAACUUCACCUGGCGUCAUUGCCCAAACCCGAUCGGUCACCUACAUGCCCCGACCCAACGACGGAGCUCUGAGUGCCAAAACAUAACCCCCGGCGACGGAAUCGGACCGCUCGUAAUGAACGCCGUCGAGCAGGUGAUGGAGUCUCUCGUCGCGAACGAGAGUUGCAGCACAUUUUGCGUGUUCUGAACACCAAUGUGGAUGGAAAUCAGAAGAUCAUGUUCGCUCUGACCUCCAUCAAGGGUAUCGGUCGCCGUUUAGCCAACAUCGUCUGCAAGAAGGCCGAUGUCGACAUGAACAGGAGGCGUUGAUGUUGCUAUUGAACGUCUUGGAACAACAAUAACAGACGCUUCGCUUUAUAUAUACAGAUACAGAUGCAGCUAGCGUGGGUUUUGUAAACCAAACCGCCCUGCGAAGUUGGAGAAAGAACCCUCCGUGUCGAGAAAUUUAGCUCUUUCCGUUCCUUCUCUGCAAACUCGAUUAUCAACAGAUACAGAUGCAGCUAGCGUGGGUUUUGUAAACCAAACUGCCCUGCGAAGUUGGAGAAAGAACCCUCCGUGUCGAGAAAUUUAGCUCUUUCCGUUCCUUCUCUGCAAACUCGAUUAUCAACAGGUAAUUCACAUCCCUGAUUUUUUGUGUAGAUAGAUUUGGGAUUUCUCUGAAUUGCAGAUAUUUUUCUCAAGAGUUGCAACUUGGUUACAGCUAAAAUUUAUGGGAAGCUAAAUUUGGUAGGUGAUAGGAAGUGAUUAGGUGAAAUUGGUUAUGCAUAAAAAGUGAGGCUGAAAGAGUUUGUUGUCUAAGUUUCAGAUGUUCAAUUUCUUUUCUUUUUUUGUUUUUAAGUUGUAUGCUGAGGUUUUUAAGCUUUGGCUUUAAUUUUUCCCUUGUGCUAUUGACCUAAUGUAAUGAGCUAAGAACCAGGGGUACUUAUAUAUAGUUGCUUCUUGGCUACCAUAUGCGGAGUGAGUAUCCUGAGAAGAAUAAAAGGAAACUUUGUGAAUCUUCAUUGCUGAAAAGGAAAAGGAUUAUGGGACAUGGAAACCAGAUCUAGGGGAAGAUGCUGGUACAAUUCAUCUCCCGAAUCCAAUUAAUGGGUUUGGGACUCCAGCUGAUCUCUGUCAAAUCCACAGAAGUCUUCCAGAGGCAGCCACAAGACCUCCUUAUUUUUACUAUGAGAAUGUGGCAUUGACUCCUGAAGGAGUUUGAGGCACAAUAUCCUGCUUUUUGUAUGACGUGAAGCCUGUGCAGACUGAGCUAUGCAUUUAGUGAGAACAAAUCAUGCUAUGGUCUCAUAAGAAAAAGCCCUCGGUGCCUUUUUCGUUUGGUCUCUUUUAAGCUAUUUUUGGUUAAAAUGACAUUUUUUUUUUCCGGAGUUCUUAGCAACUUGAUAUAUGAUGAGUAGAUGAGCUUUCAUUUUAACAUCUGUAAAAUUUAGUUACUGAUCAUUUUAUGGAAUUCAUGCUUUUGCAGUGGCUAAUUAUAUGAUGAGUCACAAGUUAAU